rnacentral:lncRNA from 1 species
AUGGGGCUAGGACCUCAGUCUUUUCACCUGGGAAGCUGCCCUGCCCACAACCAGGCCUGGAGUUGCGUGGGGGUGGCCAAUCUGGUAGCAGGAGGGCUCCAUGCACCUGGUGGGGGGUGGACGGGUGGCACGGGAGCUGGAAGCAUUUGGGGUGUGAAGGCACCUUUGGUGCUCCUUGGCCCUCAGGUCAGGGGGAAGGGCUGCAGCCAUCCAUUUGACAAGGAGCUUGCACCCUGCCCGCAGGAAAUGAACCAGGACCCGAGGUUGAGGGUUCUGGGUUCAAGUUUCAGCUAUGCUGCUGAUUCCUGUCCAGUUUGGUGCCUUAGUCUCCACAAGCAGUGGAGCCGGUCCACCCUUUUAUGUGGGUCCCUUGGAGAAGGUCUGGGGAGGGGGGUCGGCCAUCAGAGGGGCUGUGCUCCGGGCCUGCAGCCUGAGGACUCACCACCAGGACCCACUGUCAGGCCUCAGCCCUGGACCCAAACGGGCGCCCUGGGCCGCGAGGGGAGCCAAGACCUCGAGGCAAUACCACAGGGGCCACCAGGUGGCGCCAGCGCAGCGCUCCUCUGGGUGGGAGUGGCCGGCGGCUGUCCUGACUCGGUUUCUCAGCCCCUCCCCUGGUGGGUCGCUGGGCAGGUGCCCGCGGGGUCAGGCCGGAGGGAGUGGCAGCAGCAGGAGCAGGACCCGGCCUCCCGUGACCCCCGCAGGGGUGCAGUCCCGUCUCCCCACGGCCCCGGCCCACGCGGCCCCCCUGCACUGCCCUGGCUCUUGUCUUCAGCUGUGGGCAGGGCUGGAGCGCUGAGCUCUGCAUCUUCAAGGACACGGGAGGUGCCCACCCCCAGCCUCGCUUCUGCACUGACGGACACGUCCCGCAGCUCAGCCGCCCACACAGUGGUGGUCAUCUCUGGCCACCCACGGGGACAGCAGCCGGGACAGCCCACAAAGCCUCCGCUUCCCUCCACUGGCGCUGGCUUGGACGGAGACGGCCCUGCGCCGACCGCGGCCGCUCUGGGGCCAGCGCCCAGCUCCUGGCCUGGAUGGUGGGCAGCACCGCCCCAGCCGCUGCCCAGGACCGCGCACCACCCUCCCCUGCCCUUGAAAUGA